rnacentral:tRNA from 1 species
GCGGUCGUGGCGGAAUUGGCAGACGCGCUAGACUCAGGAUCUAGUGGAGGCAACUCCAUGGAGGUUCAAAUCCUCUCGACCGCA